CGUGGUGAGUGAUUCAAUAGUGGAUUUGAGCAAAAGAGGGUGAAUCCUUCUUUCUCUCUACAUUAUGAUGGCCUUUAGGCUAAUUCAUCCCAAUCAUGCCUCGUUAGGGGCAGGUCAAUAAUUGUCAUGUCCCAGCCCAAGGCUCGAGCUGAGUGCAUGACAGACAGUCAUAUGUUCUUAGGAUUCAACCGUAAGGGACAUGCAAGUCCUACUUUUUUUCUUCAAACAUUUAUAGUAUUUUAAACUCAGAAAAUGGUAGAGUACUCUUAAUAAUAACGAGAAAAUCUAAUCAAUUUCUCUAUAAAAAUAUUAAUCGUAAGUCUCCUAG
rnacentral:lncRNA from 1 species